CGCGUAGGCGGCCUGCUAAGUCACACGUGAAAUCCCUCGGCUCAACCGGGGAACUGCGUGUGAUACUGGCGGGCUUGAAUUCGGGAGAGGGAUGUGGAAUUCCAGGUGUAGCGGUGAAAUGCGUAGAUAUCUGGAGGAACACCGGUGGCGAAGGCGGCAUCCUGGACCGAGAUUGACGCUGAGGCGCGAAAGCUAGGGGAGCAAACGGGAUUAGAUACCCCGGUAGUCCUAGCCCUAAACGAUGAGUGCUUGGUGUGGCGGGUAUCGAUCCCUGCCGUGCCGAAGCUAACGCAUUAAGCACUCCGCCUGGGGAGUACGGUCGCAAGGCUGAA
rnacentral:rRNA from 1 species